rnacentral:rRNA from 1 species
UACGAAGGGUGCAAACGUUGCUCGGAAUUACUGGGCGUAAAGGGCGCGUAGGCGGCCUGCUAAGUCGGACGUGAAAUCCCUCGGCUCAACCGGGGAACUGCGUCCGAUACUGGUGGGCUUGAAUCCGGGAGAGGGAUGUGGAAUUCCAGGUGUAGCGGUGAAAUGCGUAGAUAUCGGGAGGAACACCAGUGGCGAAGGCGACUACCUGGCCUGUUCUUGACGCUGAGGCGCGAAAGCGUGGGGGAGCAAACACGG